GAUGAGCGCUGACAGAAUGCUUAACACAUGCAAGUCAACUUGAAUUUGGGUUUUUAACUUAGAUUUGGGUGGCGGACGGGUGAGUAACGCGUAAAGAACUUGCCUCACAGCUAGGGACAACAUUUAGAAAUAAAUGCUAAUACCUGAUAUUAUGAUUUUAAGGCAUCUUAGAAUUAUGAAAGCUAUAAGCACUGUGAGAGAGCUUUGCGUCCCAUUAGCUAGUUGGAGAGGUAACAGCUCACCAAGGCGAUGAUGGGUAGCCGGCCUGAGAGGGUGAACGGCCACAAGGGGACUGAGACACGGCCCUUACUCCUACGGGAGGCAGCAGUGGGGAAUAUUGGACAAUGGACCGAGAGUCUGAUCCAGCAAUUCUGUGUGCACGAUGAAGUUUUUCGGAAUGUAAAGUGCUUUCAGUUGGGAAGAAAUAAAUGACGGUACCAACAGAAGAAGUGACGGCUAAAUACGUGCCAGCAGCCGCGGUAAUACGUAUGUCACGAGCGUUAUCCGGAUUUAUUGGGCGUAAAGCGCGUCUAGGUGGUUAUGUAAGUCUGAUGUGAAAAUGCAGGGCUCAACUCUGUAUUGCGUUGGAAACUGUAUAACUAGAGUACUGGAGAGGUAAGCGGAACUACAAGUGUAGAGGUGAAGUUCGUAGAUAUUUGUAGGAAUGCCGAUGGGGAAGCCAGCUUACUGGACAGAUACUGACGCUAAAGCGCGAAAGCGUGGGUAGCAAACAGGAUUAGAUACCCUGGUAGUCCACGCUGUAAAC
rnacentral:rRNA from 1 species